rnacentral:snRNA from 1 species
AUGGCUUCUCCGGCCUUCUGGCUAAGAUCAUGUGUAUGAUGCCGUUCUUUUCAGCUGAAUAAUGUGAGAAGCGCGAUGCACCGAGUCGGCGCUUGGUAUGAUUGAAACUGAUGUUUUUGAAUCUAGACCAUGGUAAAGGGCUUGGCUCCAUCCUGGUCACGGGUUGGCCCGGUAUUGCAGUACCUCGCGGAUUCGGCGCCACCCCU